UCCUGGUUAACCCAGGCAGUCUCGUUAGAGUUCCCGCCUUUACGCGUUGGCAACUAACGAUAAGGGUUGCGCUCGUUGCUGGACUUAACCAAACACCUCACGGCACGAGCUGACGACAGCCAUGCAGCACCUAUAUAGAGACCCUUUCGAGAAACGUUAUCUCUAACGUCGUCCUCUACAUUUCGAGCCCAGGUAAGGUUCUUCGCGUUGCAUCGAAUUAAACCACAUGCUCCACUGCUUGUGCGGGCCCCCGUCAAUUCUUUUGAGUUUCACCCUUGCGAGCGUACUCCCCAGGCGGCAUACUUAACGCGUUAGCUCCGAUACAGAAAGGGUUGAGCCCUCCUACAUCUAGUAUGCAUCGUUUACGGCUAGGACUAC
rnacentral:misc_RNA from 1 species